GUGGGGAAUAUUGGGCAAUGGGGGAAACCCUGACCCAGCGACGCCGCGUGAGGGAAGAAGGCCUUAGGGUCGUAAACCUCUGUUGUGUGGGAAGAAGAGCGUGACGGUACCACACGAGGAAGUCCCGGCUAACUACGUGCCAGCAGCCGCGGUAAUACGUAGGGGACGAGCGUUGUCCGGAUUUACUGGGCGUAAAGGGCGCGUAGGCGGUCAUUUAAGUCAGCUGUGAAAUGGUUUGGCUUAACCGGAUCAUGCGGUUGAAACUGGAUGACUGGAGUGCUGGAGAGGCAAGUGGAAUUCCCAGUGUAGCGGUGAAAUGCGUAGAUAUUGGGAAGAACACCGGGGGCGAAGGGGACUUGCUGGCCAACAACUGACACUGAGGCGCGAAAGCCAGGGGAGCAAACGGGAUUAGAAACCCCUGUAGUCC
rnacentral:rRNA from 1 species